rnacentral:lncRNA from 1 species
AGCAAAUUGUCCCUGUGUUCUGAGACUGAGCACAGGCACUAUUGUUCGGUCUUUCUACCCACACUCAUUGAGUUCACCAGCCUGAUUUGAUGGGAGAAGCCUGCAUUCACAGCCAGUCUGUAGUCGAGCUUGGCUCAGCCCUGUGUCCUGCCAACUCGAAUUCCACUUCAAUUCUUUUUCCUCCCACUGUCUUAUUUGCCAUCAUGUGUUGGACGGCAACAGGAGAGUCAGCCCUCACAGGCACUGUGAAACAGCUGAAGGUUUUAGCCCGUGCGGCAAGUAGCUGUGCCAUGUAGGAGAUGAAAAACCAAGGAUUCCUUCAAAGUUAACAGAGAUCAGCUUUGACCUGUGGAGACCUCCUAAGGAUCUUGGCUAGAGACAUGAAGGAAAAAAAAAAAAAACAAGAAAAACUACAGGACAGGUAAUUAAUUGCUUCAUUGACUCAAUCAAAAAUUUUGGAAGCUUCUAUGUGCCAAGUAACUGAACAGCAAAAAGUAAGCCAAACUGGACACUAUUCCUUGUCAUCUUUUUUCAUCCUAUCUUUGUGCCUCCCGAGAGUUCACAGUAUACUCAGGGCGCUGGGAAAGUAAGUUAAAAAAUAAUGUGAUAUGUGACACAAUAAAGGUGGAAAAAUGUACUUGGAGCAUAAAAAGAAGCAGCUAAAAUUGUCACUUGGGACUAGAGACAGACAGGAGAGAUUUAUUGUUAAAACAGCAGCAAAAGGGCAUUUGUGUUGUACCUUUAAAGAUGAAAAUGGUUUUCAGGAGAGGAUGGGAAGAUGCAGAAUGAGGCUGAGUGGUUGGGAGAAAGGCAGCUUACCUUGCAGGAGG